AUUGAACGCUGGCGGCAUGCCUUACACAUGCAAGUCGAACGGUAACGGGCCUUCGGGUGCCGACGAGUGGCGAACGGGUGAGUAAUGUAACGGAACGUACCUUUCAGUGGGGGAUAACGUAGCGAAAGUUACGCUAAUACCGCAUAUUCUGUGCGCAGGAAAGCAGGGGAUCGCAAGACCUUGCGCUGAUUGAGCGGCCGAUAUCAGAUUAGCUAGUUGGUGAGGUAAAGGCUCACCAAGGCGACGAUCUGUAGCGGGUCUGAGAGGAUGAUCCGCCACACUGGAACUGAGACACGGUCCAGACUCCUACGGGAGGCAGCAGUGGGGAAUUUUGGACAAUGGGGGCAACCCUGAUCCAGCCAUGCCGCGUGAGUGAAGAAGGCCUUCGGGUUGUAAAGCUCUUUCGGCCGGGAAGAAAUCGCAUCAGCUAAUACCUGGUGCGGAUGACGGUACCGGCAUAAGAAGCACCGGCUAACUACGUGCCAGCCGCCGCCGUAACAC
rnacentral:rRNA from 1 species